UACAGAGGUCUCAAGCGUUGUUCAGAUUCAUUGGGCGUAAAGGGUGCGUAGGUGGCGGGGUAAGUCAGGUGUGAAAUCUCGGGGCUCAACCCCGAAACUGCACUUGAUACUGCCUUGCUCGAGUACUGGAGAGGAGAUUGGAAUUUACGGUGUAGCAGUGAAAUGCGUAGAUAUCGGUAGGAACACCAGUGGCGAAGGCGGUCUCCUGGGGCAUUCUUGACGCUGAUGCGCGAAAGCUGGGGGAGCAAACGGG
rnacentral:rRNA from 1 species